UCAGUGAAACUAAUCUUCCCGUGAAGAAGCGGGAAUAAAUAGAUAAGACGAGAAGACCCCAUGGAGCUUUAAGCUUACUGCACCUCUAUUUUCUAUAACCUCUUAUUAAACGGAAUACUGCUUACUUAGCUUUAGGUUGGGGUGACCGCGGAGUAUAACAUAACCUCCAUGAUGAACAAAACUAUUUUCUUAUCUAAGAACAACAGUUCUAAGAAUUAGUAUUCUAACAUAAAAUGAUCCGAUAAUCGAUCAACGGACUAAGUUACCCUGGGGAUAACAGCGCAAUCCAUUUCAAGAGCCCCUAUCGACAAAUGGGUUUACGACCUCGAUGUUGGAUCAGGAUAUCCUAGUGGUGCAGCAGCUACUGAAGGUUCGUUUGUUCAACGAUUAAAAUCCU
rnacentral:rRNA from 1 species